GACGAACGCUGGCGGCGUGCUUAACACAUGCAAGUCGAGCGAGGGUGUCUCUGUCCUUUUUGGGUGGGGGUGUUCGAGCGGCGAACGGGUGAGUAACACGUGAGUAAUCUGCCCUUCACUUGGGGAUAACUUCCGGAAACGGUGGCUAAUACCCGAUAUGGACCAUGCGCUGCCUGGUGUGUGGUGGAAAGAGUUUUUGGUGGGGGAUGUGCUCGCGGCCUAUCAGCUUGUUGGUGGGGAAUGGCCUACCAAGGCUUCGACGGGUAGCCGGCCUGAGAGGGUGGACGC
rnacentral:rRNA from 1 species